rfam:Candidatus Wildermuthbacteria bacterium RIFCSPHIGHO2_01_FTLL_49_22b rifcsphigho2_01_scaffold_10720, whole genome shotgun sequence.
GGUCCCAUCGUCUAGCCUGGCCCAGGACAGCGGAUUUUCAUUCCGCCAACAGGGGUUCGAAUCCCCUUGGGACCG